rnacentral:snRNA from 1 species
GGAUGUGAGGGCGAUCUGAUUGCGAUACCUGUCACCCCAUUGAUCGCCAGGGUUGAUCUGGCUGACUUGACUGCCUAGGCGGGUGUCCCCUUCCUCCCUCACCACUCCAUGUGCGUCCCUCUCGAAGCUGCAUGCUCAAAGACGUCGGCCUUCCCCAAAUAGAGACAGACCGGUCUUCAGUCGAGGGUAUAGGAGUAGCUGCGCUCCCCUGCUAGAACCUCCAAACAAGCUCUCAAGAUGUAGAGGGCAGGGGUAGAUAGUAUAUGGUUAU